rnacentral:tRNA from 1 species
GGAGGGUUGGCCGAGUGGUUUAUGGCGCUAGUCUUGAAAACUGGUGAGCGAAAGCUCUCAGAGGUUCGAAUCCUCUACCCUCCGCCA